rnacentral:rRNA from 1 species
CACCAGCCCCUCGAGUGGUGGGGAUGAUUAUUUGGCCUAAAGCGUCCGUAGCCGGCCGAGCAAGUCUUCCGUUAAAUCCAGCGUCUCAAGCGUUGGACCGCGGGAGAUACUACACGGCUAGAGAGUGGGAGAGGUCAGCGGUAUUCUGGGGGUAGGGGCGAAAUCCUUUGAUCCCCGGAGGACCACCAGUGGCGAAGGCUGCUGACUAGAACACGUCUGACGGUCAGGGACGAAAGCUGGGGUAGCGAACCGGAUUAGAUACCCGGGUAGUCCCAGCCGUAAACGAUGCAUGCUAGGUGUUGGGUUGGCCACGAGCCACCCCAGUGCCGCAGGGAAGCCGUUAAGCAUGCCGCCUGGGAAGUACGAUCGCAAGAUUGAAACUUAA